UACGGGGGGAGCAAGCGUUGUUCGGAUUUACUGGGCGUAAAGGGCGCGUAGGCGGCGCAACAAGUCACUUGUGAAAUCUCCGGGCUUAACCCGGAGCGGUCAAGUGAUACUGUCGUGCUAGAGUGCGGAAGGGGCUACUGGAAUUCUCGGUGUAGCGGUGAAAUGCGUAGAUAUCGAGAGGAACACCGGUGGCGGAAGGCGGUGCUCUGGGCCGAUACUGACGCUGAUGCGGCGAAAGCCAGGGGAGCGAACGGG
rnacentral:rRNA from 1 species